GGCUUGCCUGUAGGACCGGUGGGGCUAAGAAAAGCACAGCAGGCUGCGCCCGGAGAAGCCCUGGUUCGGUACCGAAGGACGCGGGUUCGAUUCCCGCCACCUCCACUU
rnacentral:tmRNA from 1 species